UUCGCAAUGCCCGAAAGGGUGACGAAGCGACGCCGCGUGUGGGAAGAAGGCCUUCGGGUUGUAAACCACUGUCGGGAGUUAAGAAAUGUAAGAGUGUUAAUAGCGCCUUUACUUGACAAAGGCUCCGGAGGAAGCCACGGCUAACUCUGUGCCGGCAGCCGCGGUAAUACGGAGGCGGCAAGCGCUGUUCGGAAUUAUUGGGCGUAAAGAGCACGUAGGCGGCUUUGCAAGUCAGUUGUGAAAGCCUUCCGCUUAACGGAAGAACAGCAGCUGAUACUACAGAGCUUGAGUACGGGAGGGGAGAGUGGAACUUCUGGUGGAGCGGUGAAAUGCGUAGAUAUCAGAAGGAACGCCGGCGGCGAAAGCGAUUCUCUGGUCCGAAACUGACGCUGAGUGUGCGAAAGCUAGGGGAUCAAACGGGAUUAGAUACCCCGGUAGUCCUAGCCGUAAACGAUGGGCACUAAGUAGAGGGGUUUU
rnacentral:rRNA from 1 species